AAAAAACACAGAGCCGCGAAACGCCGAGACAGAGAUAGCAAUUUGAUUUUGAGGGUCCUUCACCAUUCUCUUUGAUUUUCGGGUUGUGGCCUACUUCCUCUCAAAAGUUUCUUUGCAGAGAUGAAGUGGAAUACUCUAAUUUCAUCACAGCAAAGACCCCAGCUUCUUUUCCAAUUUCCUCCUUUAGUAACCCACGGAUUAUUUUCUGCUUUCUGUUAUGCACAGCGAAAGACCAAAUCUAUAUAGUUUAGAAGCUGUCUGCAAAUCCCAGCAAUAGCAAAGUGAAAAGGGAAAAGAAAGCUAUGAGUAAUGGACAUAGACAUGAGUUAUUAAAACACUAAACAAUUGUAUCUUUUUGGUGGUUUGCUAUUGGUAAUUCUUUUCUUCACAAUCAUGCUAUUGUUUUCUGUUUUUAAUUUUUAAUUUUUAUAAUAACAAACAUUUAUAACUAAGGCAUUGAAAUAUUUUGUGCACAACAUGUGUUUGAGAAAAUGCCUUGCUUACUCUUGCAUUAGUUUGUAGCCACUUUAUGGUUUGUGCAUCUUGGUUUUAAUUGAUACUGGUUAUUGACUACUUUUUGUUAUGUAUCAAUCAUAAGUUAUGAUGAUACAAAAAAUAUUCUGUUUGUACCCAACGAUCGGAAAAAAAUAUGUUUUGCCAAGUCAUUAAAGGAUGAAGAAACUCUUAGAUGUCAGUUCUGCUAAAUA